GUGAAUCAACUGUGCACCACCACCGGCUCUACCGUUACCACUUUCCUGCAUGGUUAGCUCCAGUGGUUAGCACCGUGCCGAGGUUUGGGAUGGGCUUGGGAGACAUACAAGUACUGUCAUGGACUACCCACAAUGCGCCUCAUCAGUGCUGCAAUCCUCACUCCUGCAAUCCUGCUGGCCCGAGAGUUGGGGUGAUUAUUUGUGGAUCGAGGCUCGUCGAUGAGUCCGAGUGUCUCCUUUCGGUUUAAAGAAACUGUCUUUGAACUCGGCCAGCCAACGUGCCUGUCGUGUCAUUGGCCUACCAGUACGUCAGGUCACUUCUGAUCCGGUCAUCACAGCUCCAAGAGGGUACACAAUGCUGAGGUGUUGCACUUACUGACAACGAGAAUCAGUGGCCUCUGACAAAAGCGACAGCCCCAAAGCUGCAAAGGAGUGGCGAUGGGAUGGGCAGGAUACAUUAACCGGUUACCUUUACAUGGUUUUUCUAUUGCGGAACAUGGGACUCCUGCCAGAUAAGCUCUUACGAUCGACAACAGACUUGUCAGCUUCUGCAUUCCUGAUGCCAACUCUGGACAAAAUCAGCCUAGGGACCUGGCAAAAUGGAUCCGCCACUAUUUCAUUCAUCAGGCGCCGGCAUGGGAUUUAAAAGCUGGCCAACCACCAUCCACUUCGGGCACGACACCGUUGCAAGGAUGGCAAAGUUACUGCAUGUUGCAGGUCAGUGACUUGAACGGUGCUGCAUCUUUCAAGACCAGCAACCAAUGCUUGCUUAAGGUGUCAUGCCCAGUGGAUUUAAUUCAUGUGAUUAAGUGCUCGUUGGAUUUUUCAAGCUACUUGUGCUCUGCCUUAUUUGAAAUGUUGUUUGUGAUGUCUGGUGACGUUGAAUUAAACCCGGGUCCAAUGACUAAGGCUGAGGCAGAUUCCUUUGCCACUGCAUUAGAUACGUUGGCUAGAGCAAGCACAGGUCACUAACAUGGA